UACGGAGGGUGCAAGCGUUAUCCGGAUUCACUGGGUUUAAAGGGUGCGUAGGUGGGCAGGUAAGUCAGUGGUGAAAUCUCUGGGCUUAACCCGGAAACUGCCGUUGAUACUAUCUGUCUUGAAUGUAGUGGGGGUGAGCGGAAUAUGUCAUGUAGCGGUGAAAUGCUUAGAUAUGACAUAGAACAUCGAUUGCGAAGGCAGCUCGCUACACUAUGAUUGACACUGAGGCACGAAAGCGUGGGGAUCAAACAGG
rnacentral:rRNA from 1 species